rnacentral:misc_RNA from 1 species
GCUACCUAUGCAUCCUUCGCGGGCUAAAAUUCUCUCUCUGAAAACUUUGCCGCUAAUAAAAGUCUAAUCCCAUCGAGCCAACUAUAUAUCUGCGUUCUUGUUUCGUGCACUCUCCGUUGAGCAGCCAUCUCUUUCUGCCUCGCGGGUUUUUUUCUUUGUUUCAUUCAUUUGUCCUCGACGCUGUUGUUUCAACCGCAAGCUCCGCCAAAGGAUCAGUUAUCCCUUUGUUCCCGCCGGAAUACUACUCAUCUAUCUGCUCCUAUGUAUGCGCAUCUCUCAAACGCCUGAAAAAUGGGCUGCGUCAUCGGCAAGACGGCGUCCGGGCAGCGCCGGAGCAUUGCCGGAUCUCCCAACUGUGGCCGGAGCUCCGACCAACCUUCCGUCACCGUUACUGAGGCUGUAAACGCUGUCAGGGAUAAGAAGGAGGUAAAGCAGAGGCAAAAGACUAGACACUCGGGUGAUUUUCAGGCGGAUGUUCCCACGGCAGAGCGUUGGCGGCCACGCCCGGAGCCUUUCCUGAGGAACCAGCAAGGUUGGCCUUCGUGGUUAAUGGCGGGCGCCGGGGAUGCAAACGGGGACUGGACUCCUCCCCGGGGAAACACCUUCGAGAAGCUUGAUAAAAUUUGCCAAAG